UACGAAGGGGGCUAGCGUUGUUCGGAAUUACUGGGCGUAAAGGGCGCGUAGGCUGUGCUGUAAGUCAGGUGUGAAAUCUCGGGGCUUAACUCCGAAACUGCAUUUGAUACUGCGGUGCUUGAGGACUGGAGAGGAGACUGGAAUUUACGGUGUAGCAGUGAAAUGCGUAGAGAUCGUAAGGAAGACCAGUGGCGAAGGCGGGUCUCUGGACAGUUCCUGACACUGAGGCACGAAGGCCAGGGGAGCAAACGGG
rnacentral:rRNA from 1 species